rnacentral:rRNA from 1 species
GAUGAACGCUGGCGGCGUGCCUAAUACAUGCAAGUCGAGCGAACAGAUGAGGAGCUUGCUCCUCUGACGUUAGCGGCGGACGGGUAAGUAACACGUGGAUAACCUACCUAUAAGACUGGGAUAACUUCGGGAAACCGGAGCUAAUACCGGAUAAUAUAUUGAACCGCAUGGUUCAAUAGUGAAAGACGGUUUUGCUGUCACUUAUAGAUGGAUCCGCGCCGCAUUAGCUAGUUGGUAAGGUAACGGCUUACCAAGGCAACGAUGCGUAGCCGACCUGAGAGGGUGAUCGGCCACACUGGAACUGAGACACGGUCCAGACUCCUACGGGAGGCAGCAGUAGGGAAUCUUCCGCAAUGGGCGAAAGCUUGACGGAGCAACGCCGCGUGAGUGAUGAAGGUCUUCGGAUCGUAAAACUCUGUUAUUAGGGAAGAACAAAUGUGUAAGUAACUAUGCACGUCUUGACGGUACCUAAUCAGAAAGCCACGGCUAACUACGUG